rnacentral:tRNA from 1 species
UCCCCGUUGGUGUAACGGCAGCACGUCGGCCUUUGGUGCCGGUAGGACGGGGUUCGAAUCCUCGACGGGGAG